rnacentral:rRNA from 1 species
AUUGAACGCUGGCGGCAGGCCUAACACAUGCAAGUCGAACGAGUGGCGGACGGGUGAGUAAUGUCUGGGAAACUGCCCGAUGUAGGGGGAUAACUACUGGAAACGGUAGCUAAUACCGCAUACCCUCAGAUGUGCCCAGAUGGGAUUAGCUAGGUGGGGGGGUAACGGCUCACCGAGGCGACGAUCCCUAGAGGGUCUGAGAGGAUGACCAGCCACACUGUAACUGGGACCCGGUCCAGACUCCUACGGGAGGAAGCAGUGGGUAAUAUUGCACAAUGGGCUGAAGCCUGAUGCAGCCAUGCCGCGUGUAUGAAGAAGGCUUUCGGGUUGUAAAGUACUUUCAGCGAGGAGGCGUUACUCGCAGAAGAAGCACCGGCUAACUCCGUGCCAGCAGCCGCGGUAAUAC